AGGAUGAACGCUGGCGGCGUGCCUAAUACAUGCAAGUCGAGCGAACAGACAAGGAGCUUGCUCCUUUGACGUUAGCGGCGGACGGGUGAGUAACACGUGGGUAACCUACCUAUAAGACUGGGAUAACUUCGGGAAACCGGAGCUAAUACCGGAUAAUAUUUCGAACCGCAUGGUUCGAUAGUGAAAGAUGGUUUUGCUAUCACUUAUAGAUGGACCCGCGCCGUAUUAGCUAGUUGGUAAGGUAACGGCUUACCAAGGCGACGAUACGUAGCCGACCUGAGAGGGUGAUCGGCCACACUGGAACUGAGACACGGUCCAGACUCCUACGGGAGGCAGCAGUAGGGAAUCUUCCGCAAUGGGCGAAAGCCUGACGGAGCAACGCCGCGUGAGUGAUGAAGGUCUUCGGAUCGUAAAACUCUGUUAUUAGGGAAGAACAUACGUGUAAGUAACUAUGCACGUCUUGACGGUACCUAAUCAGAAAGCCACGGCUAACUACGUGCCAGCAGCCGCGGUAAUACGUAGGUGGCAAGCGUUAUCCGGAAUUAUUGGGCGUAAAGCGCGCGUAGGCGGUUUAAGUCUGAUGUGAAAGCCCACGGCUCAACCGUGGAGGGUCAUUGGAAACUGGAAAACUUGAGUGCAGAAGAGGAAAGUGGAAUUCCAUGUGUAGCGGUGAAAUGCGCAGAGAUAUGGAGGAACACCAGUGGCGAAGGCGACUUUCUGGUCUGUAACUGACGCUGAUGUGCGAAAGCGUGGGGAUCAAACAGGAUUAGAUACCCUGGUAGUCCACGCCGUAAACGAUGAGUGCU
rnacentral:rRNA from 1 species